UUCGCAUGUAAACGCGAUGGUCCGACAGGAAUCCGGUGAAAGCCCGGAGCGGUCGCGCCACUGUAAUUCGAGGUGAAGUGCCUUUUUCGGCACGACUAUUUCGACAGCCAGACACUUCGGCCAUCGCAUGGACCUAGGG
rnacentral:ncRNA from 2 species